GACGAACGCUGGCGGCGUGCCUAAUACAUGCAAGUCGAACGCAGUGGGGACGGGGGAGUAACACGUGGGUAACCUCCCCUCAGAGGGGAUAACACUUGGAAACAGAUGAUAAACCGAUACUGAUGGAUGGACCCGAGGUGCAUUAGCUGGUUGGUGAGGUAACGGCUCACAAAGGCCACGAUGCAGAAACGACCUGAGAGGUUGAUCGUCCACACGGGGACGGAGACACGGCCCAGACUCCUACGGGAGGCAGCAGUAGGGAAGCUUCGGCAAUGGACGAAAGUCUGACCGAGCAACGCCGCGUGAGUGAAGAAGGUUUUCGGAUCGUAAAACUCUGUUGUUAGAGAAGCGGUAUCUAACCAGAAAGCCACGGCUAACUACGUGCCAGCAGCCGCGGUAAUAC
rnacentral:rRNA from 1 species